rnacentral:rRNA from 1 species
GACGAACGCUGGCGGUAUGCUUCAUACAUGCAAGUCGAACGAUAAGGCCCCUUCGGGGGUACAUAAGUGGCGGACGGGUGAGUAACACGUAGGAAAUCUGCCUUGAGGCGGGGGACAACGUUGGGAAACUGACGCUAAUACCCUAUAUGUGGCAAGCUGCAAUGCUUGUCAUGAAAGCUUUAGUGCCUUGAGAUGAGCCUGCGUCUGAUUAGCUUGUUGGUGGGGUAAUGGCCUACCAAGGCGACGAUCAGUAGCUGGUCUGAGAGGAUGAUCAGCCACAAUGGGACUGAGACACGGCCCAUACUCCUACGGGAGGCAGCAGUAGGGAAUUUUGCGCAAUGGGCGAAAGCCUGACGCAGCAAUACCGCGUGAGGGAUGACGCUUCUUGGAGUGUAAACCUCUGUCAGUGGGGACGAAUUUUGACGGUACCCACAAAGGAAGCACCGGCUAACUACGUGCCAGCCGCCGCAGUAAA